CAGUCGCCGCGGGAAUACGGAGGAUCCAAGCGUUAUCCGGAAUCAUUGGGUUUAAAGGGUCCGUAGGCGGUCUUGUAAGUCAGUGGUGAAAGCCCAUCGCUCAACGGUGGAACGGCCAUUGAUACUGCAGGACUUGAAUUAUUGGGAAGUAACUAGAAUAUGUAGUGUAGCGGUGAAAUGCUUAGAGAUUACAUGGAAUACCAAUUGCGAAGGCAGGUUACUACCAAUUGAUUGACGCUGAUGGACGAAAGCGUGGGUAGCGAACAGGAUUAGAUACCCGAGUAGUCCCUGUCUCUUAUAC
rnacentral:rRNA from 1 species